rnacentral:rRNA from 1 species
UACGUAGGGGGCAAGCGUUGUCCGGAAUUAUUGGGCGUAAAGAGCUCGUAGGCGGUGUGUCGCGUCGGCCGUGAAAACCUGCAGCUUAACUGUGGGCUUGCGGUCGAUACGGGCAUCACUGGAGUUCGGCAGGGGAGACUGGAAUUCCUGGUGUAGCGGUGAAAUGCGCAGAUAUCAGGAGGAACACCGGUGGCGAAGGCGGAUCUCUGGGCCGUAACUGACGCUGAGGAGCGAAAGCAUGGGGAGCGAACAGG